rnacentral:piRNA from 1 species
UGCUGUUUGUUAUAUAUCAUGUAUCCAGAU